UGGGGAAUCUUAGACAAUGGGCGCAAGCCUGAUCUAGCCAUGCCGCGUGAGUGACGAAGGCCUUAGGGUCGUAAAGCUCUUUCGCCAGGGAUGAUAAUGACAGUACCUGGUAAAGAAACCCCGGCUAACUCCGUGCCAGCAGCCGCGGUAAUACGGAGGGGGUUAGCGUUGUUCGGAAUUACUGGGCGUAAAGCGUACGUAGGCGGAUUGGAAAGUAUGGGGUGAAAUCCCAGGGCUCAACCCUGGAACUGCCCUGUAAACUAUCAGUCUAGAGUUCGAGAGAGGUGAGUGGAAUUCCAAGUGUAGAGGUGAAAUUCGUAGAUAUUUGGAGGAACACCAGUGGCGAAGGC
rnacentral:rRNA from 1 species